rnacentral:lncRNA from 1 species
GGAGGUUCUGAUCAGCAAAUAAGGAAGGAACAACAUCUGACAUCUUUACCCACUUUAACUCAUCAAGCAAAGAACUUGUAAUACGCUGAAUGCUGCAUAGAAGGUUCUGAAACUACUUACCUGCUGUGGAACACCUGUAUAACUUUAAAAUGCAUCAAUCAAUCUCGAGAGUAUGACCAUGCUUCCUGCUUUUUAGGAUCUGAAGUUAACUGCAACUCCAAGUAUACAAGACUUCUUUGGGACCCAUGAAAGCAUCUCUACAUGCUCAUGUUUGCCAGAUUCAGUGGCCUGCUGAAACCUGGCCCUAGCUAAUAAGUUAAAAAGCUCUAAGUAAUCCCGAGCUGCAUUUGAAUCUCCAAGAUCACUUGUUCAUGGGUUGGUAAUACUUUAAAGAGCCAUUUGUUUAACUGCUAAUCUGGAUCUUAUAUUCUGAGCCCCAGCUUUUUUCUAAAGCAAAGAAAAUACAAAAUAAAAGUAAAACCAAAUGCCUUUGUACCAUGGAGAGAGAAAUGACUCAUUGGAAUGCUUCUGUUUUUCAUCACAUCAAGAUGCAUCAACAUAAAUCAACCAUUAUAUCAUGUACCAUGAUAAAAAAGGGGGAUAAAAGUCCCCAAACCACUGCC